rnacentral:rRNA from 1 species
AGCGUACACGGUGGAUGCCCUGGCAGUCAGAGGCGAUGAAGGACGUGCUAAUCUGCGAUAAGCGUCGGUAAGGUGAUAUGAACCGUUAUAACCGGCGAUUUCCGAAUGGGGAAACCCAGUGUGAUUCGUCACACUAUCAUUAACUGAAUCCAUAGGUUAAUGAGGCGAACCGGGGGAACUGAAACAUCUAAGUACCCCGAGGAAAAGAAAUCAACCGAGAUUCCCCCAGUAGCGGCGAGCGAACGGGGAGCAGCCCAGAGCCUGAAUCAGUGUGUGUGUUAGUGGAAGCGUCUGGAAAGGCGCGCGAUACAGGGUGACAGCCCCGUACACAAAAAUGCACAUGCUGUGAGCUCGAUGAGUAGGGCGGGACACGUGGUAUCCUGUCUGAAUAUGGGGGGACCAUCCUCCAAGGCUAAAUACUCCUGACUGACCGAUAGUGAACCAGUACCGUGAGGGAAAGGCGAAAAGAACCCCGGCGAGGGGAGUGAAAAAGAACCUGAAACCGUGUACGUACAAGCAGUGGGAGCACGCUUAGGCGUGUGACUGCGUACCUUUUGUAUAAUGGGUCAGCGACUUAUAUUCUGUAGCAAGGUUAACCGAAUAGGGGAGCCGAAGGGAAACCGAGUCUUAACUGGGCGUUAAGUUGCAGGGUAUAGACCCGAAACCCGGUGAUCUAGCCAUGGGCAGGUUGAAGGUUGGGGUAACACUAACUGGAGGACCGAACCGACUAAUGUUGAAAAAUUAGCGGAUGACUUGUGGCUGGGGGUGAAAGGCCAAUCAAACCGGGAGAUAGCUGGUUCUCCCCGAAAGCUAUUUAGGUAGCGCCUCGUGAAUUCAUCUCCGGGGGUAGAGCACUGUUUCGGCAAGGGGGUCAUCCCGACUUACCAACCCGAUGCAAACUGCGAAUACCGGAGAAUGUUAUCACGGGAGACACACGGCGGGUGCUAACGUCCGUCGUGAAGAGGGAAACAACCCAGACCGCCAGCUAAGGUCCCAAAGUCAUGGUUAAGUGGGAAACGAUGUGGGAAGGCCCAGACAGCCAGGAUGUUGGCUUAGAAGCAGCCAUCAUUUAAAGAAAGCGUAAUAGCUCACUGGUCGAGUCGGCCUGCGCGGAAGAUGUAACGGGGCUAAACCAUGCACCGAAGCUGCGGCAGCGACGCUGAUGCGUUGUUGGGUAGGGGAGCGUUCUGUAAGCCUGUGAAGGUGUACUGUGAGGUAUGCUGGAGGUAUCAGAAGUGCGAAUGCUGACAUAAGUAACGAUAAAGCGGGUGAAAAGCCCGCUCGCCGGAAGACCAAGGGUUCCUGUCCAACGUUAAUCGGGGCAGGGUGAGUCGACCCCUAAGGCGAGGCCGAAGGCGUAGUCGAUGGGAAACAGGUUAAUAUUCCUGUACUUGGUGUUACUGCGAAGGGGGACGGAGAAGGCUAUGUUGGCCGGGCGACGGUUGUCCCGGUUUAAGCGUGUAGGCUGGUUUUCCAGGCAAAUCCGGAAAAUCAAGGCUGAGGCGUGAUGACGAGGCACUACGGUGCUGAAGCAACAAAUGCCCUGCUUCCAGGAAAAGCCUCUAAGCAUCAGGUAACAUCAAAUCGUACCCCAAACCGACACAGGUGGUCAGGUAGAGAAUACCAAGGCGCUUGAGAGAACUCGGGUGAAGGAACUAGGCAAAAUGGUGCCGUAACUUCGGGAGAAGGCACGCUGAUAUGUAGGUGAAGUCCCUCGCGGAUGGAGCUGAAAUCAGUCGAAGAUACCAGCUGGCUGCAACUGUUUAUUAAAAACACAGCACUGUGCAAACACGAAAGUGGACGUAUACGGUGUGACGCCUGCCCGGUGCCGGAAGGUUAAUUGAUGGGGUCAGCGCAAGCGAAGCUCUUGAUCGAAGCCCCGGUAAACGGCGGCCGUAACUAUAACGGUCCUAAGGUAGCGAAAUUCCUUGUCGGGUAAGUUCCGACCUGCACGAAUGGCGUAAUGAUGG